AUACCUGCCGUUUGAGGCGCGAAAGCGUGGGGGAGCAAACCAGGAUUAGAUACCCUUGGGUAGUCCCACGCCCGUAAACGAUGGGCCAUUAGGUGUUGGGGGGUGUCGAUUCCCCUCCAGUGCCCGAAGCUAACGCAUUAAGUGCCCCGCCUGGGGAUUACGACCGCAAGGGUUGAAACUCCAAAGGAAUUGACGGGGGCCCGCACAAGCGGUGGAGCAUGUGGUUCAAUUAGAGCGCAACGCGAAGAACCUUACCGGGGUUUGACAUAUACCCGCAAGCUGUAGAAAUACAGCCCUCCUUUUGGACGGGUAUACAGGUGCUGCAUGGCUGUCGUCAGCUCGUGUCGUGAGAUGUUGGGUUAAGUCCCGCAACGAGCGCAACCCUUGCCCUUAGUUGCCAUCAGGUUAUGCUGGGAACUCUAAGGGGAGCUGCCGGUGAUAAACCGGAGGAAGGUGGGGAUGACGUCCAAGUCCUCAUGGCCCUUAUAUCCCGGGCUACCACA
rnacentral:rRNA from 1 species